GAGUUGCUAGUAAUCGCGAAUCAGAAUGUCGCGGUGAAUACGUUCCCGGGCCUUGUACACACCGCCCGUCACACCAUGAGAGCUGGUAACACCCGAAGUCCGUGAGGUAACCGUAAGGAGCCAGCGGCCGAAGGUGGGAUUAGUGAUUGGGGUGAAGUCGUAACAAGGUAGCCGUAGGAGAACCUGCGGCUGGAUCACCUCCUUUCUAAGGAGA
rnacentral:rRNA from 1 species